rnacentral:rRNA from 1 species
UACGAAGGGGGCUAGCGUUGCUCGGAAUCACUGGGCGUAAAGCGCACGUAGGCGGAUUGUUAAGUCAGGGGUGAAAUCCUGGAGCUCAACUCCAGAACUGCCUUUGAUACUGGCGAUCUUGAGUCCGGGAGAGGUGAGUGGAACUGCGAGUGUAGAGGUGAAAUUCGUAGAUAUUCGCAAGAACACCAGUGGCGAAGGCGGCUCACUGGCACGGUACUGACGCUGAGGUGCGAAAGCGUGGGGAGCAAACAGG